rnacentral:lncRNA from 1 species
UUUCACUGCUCAAUUCACUGUCAUUUAGGAGUUAAAUCACCUUGUUUCUGUUUAUGCAGCCCUAGCCACACCUCCCCUGGCUAUGAUUGACAGAGCCUGCAUGAAAAAAACAAACUGGUUUCACUUUCAAUCAGAUGUAAUUUACCUUAAAUAAUUGUAUCACUUUCUCUAUAAAUUGAAUCUUUAAUCACAUACAGGAGGCGCUUGCAGGGUCUAGCAAGCUAUUAACAUAGAAGGGGAUAAGAAAAACUAAAUUAAAC